rnacentral:lncRNA from 1 species
AAGAGGUUUUCAGUAUUUGUGAAGUAAGUUCAGGAUAGUACUAGCGUAGAAUAAAAUUUUUAAGAUAGAUUAUUGAUAGAGUUCAUGCACUUCGGAUUGAUUUAAUAUUGGCCAGGCUUUACGAAUAAGGUUCGUCAGAAUCAAUUCUGUUCCGCUUCUGAUUUUUCCGUUGUUUUAGUAUCGGACGAUUCCAUGGGUAGAAAUCACUGGGUUGCGUUGAAUUAAUGAAUGGACUUUUAUCUGCUUCGAUAUUUUGGGUGUUUCUGUUCUUCGUUUCUUUGUUAUCCGUGUGUAUUGGUUCACUGUCAUCGCUUGGUUCGUAUAAUUCCCCUUCUAUGAACAGUUUAUCUCUUAUCAAUAUAGCUUUCUUUCGGUCUUUCUUUGCCUGCUUUAAUAUAGGAUAUAGUUUUUUCCUCUUCUUUUCGAUUUUUACCGGAAAUUGUUCUCUGACAGAAAUAUGUGUCCCCUUUAAUUUGUGACAGUUCCUCAUAACUAAUUGUUUAUCUUUCAAAGAUACAAAUUUAGUCAUUAUUCUUUGAAUAUUUUGUCUUUGUUUUCCAAAACGAUGUACAGAAACGAAAUUGAUAUUUUUCCCUAUU